GAGUCAACCCCGGAAAUGUUUCCGCCUUCAGUUUUCGGGGUGUGACAAACUAGAGCAUGAAAUAAUGCUCAUCAAAGCUUUUCUUAAAUUCCAUAGACUUCUAUUGUGGAACUCAAGAAUUAAACAAUGCUCCUCAAAGUUUUGCUAGAUUGCAUAGACUUAUAUUGUGGAACCCAAGAGUCAAACAAUGCUCAUCAUAGUUGUGUUUAAAUUGCAUAGACUUCUAUUUUGGAACUCAUGAAUUAAAAGAUGCUUAUCAAAGCUUUGCUAAAUGCAUAGAUUUCUAUUGUGGAACUCAAUUAUUAAAAUAAUGCUCAUAAAAACAUUGCUAAAUUGCAUAGACUUCUAAUGUGGAACCCAAGAAAGAAACAAUGCUCAUGAAAGCUUCGGUAAAUUGCAUAGACUUAUAUUAUGGAGCUCAAGAACGAAACAAUGCUCAUCAAAGCUUUGCUUAAAUUGCGUAGACUUCUAUUGUGGAAAUCAAGAAUUAAACGAUGCUCAUCAAAGCGUUACUAAAUUGCAUAGACUUCUAAUGUGGAACUCAAGAGUGAAACGAUGCACGUCAAAGCUUUGCUUAAACUGCAUAGACUUCUAUUGUGGAAGUCUAGAAUAAAGAAAUGCUCAUCAAAGCUUUGCUAAAUUGCAAACACUACUUCUUUUGUGGAAAUUAGGAAUUUAAUAAGGCUCAUCAAAGCUUUGCUAAAUUGCACAGACUUCUAAUGUGGAUCUCAAGAAAUAAGCAAUGCUCAUCAAGGCAUUGCUUAAAUUGCAUACAAUUCUAUUGUGGAAUUCAAGAAUUUUACAAUGCUCAUCAAAGCUUUGCUAAAUUGCAAACACAAUAUCUGUUGUAGAACUCAAGAAUUAAACAAUGAUCAUCAAAACUUGUCUAAAUUCCAUAGACUUCGAACGUUGAACUCAAGAAUGAAACAUGCUCAUCAAAGCUUUGGUUAAAUUACAUACACUUCUAUUGUGGAACUCAAGAAUUAAACAAUGUUCAUUAAAGCUUUGCUAAAUUGCAAAGACUACUUCAAUUUUGGAAUUCAAAAAUUAAACAAUGCUCAUCAAUGCUUUGCUAAAUUGUAAAUUGCAUUGACUUCCAAUGUGGAACCCAAGAAUGAAACAAUCCUCAUCAAAGCUUUGCUAAAUUGCAUAGACUUCUAUUGUGGAACUCAAGAAUUAAACGAUGCUUAUCAAACCUUUGCUAGAUUGCAUAGACUUCUAUUGUGGAACUCAUGAAUUAAACAAUGCUCAUCAAAGCUUUGCUAAAUUGCGAAGACUACAUCUAUAGUGGAACUCAAGAAUUAAAAAUGCUCAUCAUAGCUUUGCUAAAUUGCACAGAAUUCUAAUGUGAACUCAUAAUGAAACAAUGUUCAUCAAAGCUGUAACGCCCCGGGUUUUCUCGGUACGUUUGGUUAUUUUAAUUUAAUUAUCCUUGUAACGUUGGGUUAAUUUAAUUUACCAAUGUCUAAUUUCUUAUGUUAUUGGACUCUUUUGAUCAUCUUGUAAACUCCUUUUUGAAGUCCAUGGACUAUGGGCCUAUUUGCAAUGUCCAUCUGGUUAAUAGUACUUAAUGUGUAAAUUGAAUCAUUUGGAACACACACAAGGAAAACACUCUAAACCCUCCCUCUCUCUCAAAAAUCGUCCCUCUCUCUCUCUUUGGGAUCAAGAGCAGCCAAGGGGCUGUUUGGAGCUUAAUUCUUGUUCAUUUCCAGCCUUGAUUCGUAUUGGUAUGAACCUCCUUAUCCUUUCUUACAACUUGAUUCAUAACCUUGUUCUAGUUUUAUGAUUUCAUCUUCACCUCUUCUCCUUCUUAUUUUAUUUGUAAUUGUAUGUUAUACAUCAUCUCAAGAUCCUAUCUUCACCCCAUAUAUGGUGGAUGAUGGAUCUAGGGGAUUACAUGUGGCAAAAGAUCAUGGAAACCCUAAAAGGGAGAAUGAUGAUUUUANCCAAAGACUACAUCUAUUAUGGAACUCAAGAAUUAAAAAUGCUCAUCAUAGCUUUGCUAAAUUGCAUAGAAUUCUAAUGUGGAACUCAAUAAUGAAACAAUGCUCAUCAAAGCUUUGCUGAAAUUGUAUAGACUUCUGUUGUGGAACUCAAGAAUUAAACAAUGCUCUUCGAAGCUUUGCUAAAUUGCGAAGACUACUUUUAUUGUGGAACUCAAGAAUUAAACAAUGCUUAUCUAAGCUUUGUUAAUUUACAUUGACUUCUAAUGUGGAACUAAAGCAUGAAAUAAUGCUCAUCAAAGCUUUUCUUAAAUUGCAUAGACUUCUAUUGUGGAACUCAAGAAUUAAACAAUGCUCCUCAAAGUUUUGCUAGAUUGCAUAGACUUAUGUUGUGGAACCCAAGAGUCAAACAAUGCUCAUCAUAGUUGUGUUUAAAUUGCAUAGACUUCUAUUUUGGAACUCAUGAAUUAAAAGAUGCUUAUCAAAGCUUUGCUAAAUGCAUAGAUUUCUAUUGUGGAACUCAAUUAUUAAAAUAAUGCUCAUAAAAACAUUGCUAAAUUGCAUAGACUUCUAAUGUAGAACCCAAGAAAGAAACAAUGCUCAUGAAAGCUUCGCUAAAUUGCAUAGACUUCUAUUAUGGAGCUCAAGAAUCAAACAAUGCUCAUCAAAGCUUUGCUUAAAUUGCG
rnacentral:lncRNA from 1 species